rnacentral:tRNA from 2 species
GCGGCCAUGGCGGAACUGGUAGACGCGCUAGCUUGAGGUGCUAGUCCUUUAACGGGGGUGGAGGUUCGAGUCCUCUUGGCCGCACCA